AGUGAACGCUGGCGGUAGGCCUAACACAUGCAAGUCGAACGGCAGCACAGUAAGAGCUUGCUCUUACGGGUGGCGAGUGGCGGACGGGUGAGGAGUACAUCGGAAUCUACUUUUUCGUGGGGGAUAACGUAGGGAAACUUACGCUAAUACCGCAUACGACCUACGGGUGAAAGCAUGGGAUCUUCGGACCUUGCGCGAUUCAAUGAGCCGAUGUCGGAUUAGCUAGUUGGCGGGGUAAAGGCCCACCAAGGCGACGAUCCGUAGCUGGUCUGAGAGGAUGAUCAGCCACACUGGAACUGAGACACGGUCCAGACUCCUACGGGAGGCAGCAGUGGGGAAUAUUGGACAAUGGGCGCAAGCCUGAUCCAGCCAUACCGCGUGGGUGAAGAAGGCCUUCGGGUUGUAAAGCCCUUUUGUUGGGAAAGAAAAGCAGCAGGUUAAUACCCCGCUGUUCUGACGGUACCCAAAGAAUAAGCACCGGCUAACUUCGUG
rnacentral:rRNA from 1 species